GGUGUCGGGGGUCGAACCUCGGUGCCGCAGUUAACACAAUAAGUAUUCCGCCUGGGGAGUACGAUCGCAAGAUUAAAACUCAAAGGAAUUGACGGGGGCCCGCACAAGCAGCGGAGCAUGUGGUUUAAUUCGAAGCAACGCGAAGAACCUUACCUAGACUUGACAUCCCCUGCAUAACCCAGAGAUGGGCGAAGUCCUUCGGGACAGGGUGACAGGUGGUGCAUGGUUGUCGUCAGCUCGUGUCGUGAGAUGUUGGGUUAAGUCCCGCAACGAGCGCAACCCUUAUCAUUAGUUGCUACCAUUUAGUUGAGCACUCUACUGAGACUGCCCGGGUUAACCGGGAGGAAGGUGGGGAUGACGUCAAAUCAUCAUGCCCCUUAUGUCUAGGGCUACACACGUGCUACAAUGGUGAGUACAAAGAGAUGCAAGACCGCAAGGUGGAGCCAAACUCAAAAACUCAUCCCAGUUCGGAUUGUAGGCUGCAACUCGCCUACAUGAAGCCGGAGUUGCUAGUAAUCGCGAAUCAGCAUGUCGCGGUGAAUACGUUCCCGGGCCUUGUACACACCGCC
rnacentral:rRNA from 1 species